GCCACACUGGGAUGAACAGAGGGUGAGACUGGCUGGGGAUGCUGAUAUUACCAGGGACAGGAAUCCUGCUUUGACUUGUGAGUAAUCUUGGGGAUGCUGAAUCAUGAAGGAGGAAGGAAGCUGAAAAGAAUGGGUGAGGGGUACCCAGGACCUGACAGGUCAAGUAGAAGAGAAUACUGGGAGUGAAUGAAGAGGUAAUGUACUAUCUACUGGAGAACUGGGAAGAUGGACACGAUAUUUUAUUUGCAAGUAUGAAGAGACCUUCCUAUUCCAAGGGAACGUCUUACAGAUGCUUGGACAAUGAAAACUCAGAGACUUGAUCUGCAAUCACUUUACAAGUCGCUGACUGAGGAUUUUCCAUGGUGCUUUAUCAUUGAGGAAAGAUCCUUAUCACAUGUUCUAUUCAAUCACUUGGCCCAUCAAGGUGAUACGGGAAUAUGGUUCCAAAAGUUCUGCAAUUUUAACAGCACUCAGGAAAAAUUAAAAGUGUCAGCAUCUACCGGGAGUCUGCCAGGACUGUUUUGAAACCAGAUGACAGGUAAUUUCCUUGGAAGGGCUUAGCUCCUUUAAAAUGUGACAGGCCACUUUAGUGGUAUAUACAACAAGCUCUUCGUUAACUGGGCUAUUUUCA
rnacentral:lncRNA from 1 species